CGAUCGAAAAGUUUUGGUGUUCGAUCGAAAACCGGCCGAGCUCCGACGAACGUGAAACCCGUCACUCCAGGUGCGAUCCUUCUAGUAUGAUGAUCAGCCGGUUGAGGCGAGUUCAUGGAGAUAAGGAUCGGAAGUUUUGGUGGCCGGAGCUAGGAGAAAACCGGCGUUGACUAAAAUCGGUUCAAGCUUCCCGCCGCCGCUACAGGCUGCGCCGCUGUGAAAGGCUGCCACAGACGGGUGCGUAUGGACCAGGCGAAGCCAAUGGAAGAAAUUUGGUGAAGAUUGGUGACCGGUAGCUUGAGAUAUCAAUCUUGGAACCAAAACGAGCUCAAACCGGGCGGAGCUUUCCGCCGCCGCUGGUGGCCGUGUUGCGGUUCAAGGCUGCCACCUGCAGCUGCGCAAGGUCGAGGCGAACCUAUAGGAAGUGGUCUGGGGUCGAUCGAUGGCCUGUGGAGCGAGAACAAGCUUGGAGAAUAAAUGCUCUGUUCUUGGAUGGUUUCGGACG
rnacentral:lncRNA from 1 species